GGAAGGAUCAUUACCGAGUUGAUUCGGGCUCCGGCCCGAUCCUCCCACCCUUUGUGUACCACCCUCUGUUGCUUUGGCGGGCCGCGGUCCUCCGCGGCCGCCCCCUCCCCGGGGGUGGCCAGCGCCCGCCAGAGGACCAUCAAACUCCAGUCAGUAAACGAUGCAGUCUGAAAAAUAUUCAAUAAACUAAAACUUUCAACAACGGAUCUCUUGGUUCUGGCAUCGAUGAAGAACGCAGCGAAAUGCGAUAAGUAAUGUGAAUUGCAGAAUUCAGUGAAUCAUCGAAUCUUUGAACGCACAUUGCGCCCUUUGGUAUUCCGAAGGGCAUGCCUGUUCGAGCGUCAUUACAACCCUCAAGCUCUGCUUGGUAUUGGGCACCGUCCUUUGCGGGCGCGCCUCAAAGACCUCGGCGGUGGCGUCUUGCCUCAAGCGUAGUAGAACAUACAUCUCGCUUCGGAGCGCAGGGCGUCGCCCGCCGGACGAACCUUCUGAACUUUUCUCAAGGUUGACCUCGGAU
rnacentral:rRNA from 1 species